UAACUACUCCCUUCGUCCCAAAAUUUUUGUCUUACAUUUAUCUAGAUACGGAUGUAUCUAACACUAAAAUGUGAAUAGAUACAUCCGUAUGUAGACAAAUCUAAGACAAUAAUUUUGGGAUGGAGCGAGUAUAUG
rnacentral:pre_miRNA from 1 species